UGAUAGGUGACCAUAUUGCUCUCUUCCAAUACAUGAAAGGUGCUUACAGUGAGAGUGGGGUUUGUCUCUUCUCACUGGUGACAGGAUGAGGGGAAAUGGCCUCAAGUUGCAUCAGAGGAGGUUUAAGUUGGAUAUCAGGAAACACUUCUUUACAGAAAGGGUUGUUAAGCACUGGAAUAGGCUCUUCAGGGACGUGGUUGAACCACCGUCCCUGAAUCUGUUUAAAAACUGUUUGGAUGUCAAGCUCAGGGACAUGAUUUAGUAGAGGGUCGUUAGAGUUAGGGUAGUAUGGUUGGGUUGCAGUUGGACUUGAUGAUCUUGAAGAACUUUUUCAACCUGAAC
rnacentral:lncRNA from 1 species